GUGGAACUUUUCUUCAAUCUGGAGUCUCUAAUUUUAUCAAAGCAAAGACUUUCAGUGGUGUUAUAUUGAUCCUGGAGUUUCCAGUGGGGAGGAGAUGAAACCACUGAAGAGAAUAUAUAGUGCACAAUUAUAAAGUAUUGUGUUCUCUAUUAGUGCUUCUUUUAGGAAGUGCAAGGAUACAAAGAGGAAAGCUUUAAGAGAAAUAGCUCAAACUCAAC